GACGAACGCUGGCGGCGUGCUUAACACAUGCAAGUCGAACGGAAAGGCCCUGCUUUUGUGGGGUGCUCGAGUGGCGAACGGGUGAGUAACACGUGAGUAACCUGCCCCUGACUUUGGGAUAACUUCAGGAAACUGGGGCUAAUACCGGAUAGGAGCUCCUGCUGCAUGGUGGGGGUUGGAAAGUUUCGGCGGUUGGGGAUGGACUCGCAGCUUAUCAGCUUGUUGGUGGGGUAGUGGCUUACCAAGGCUUUGACGGGUAGCCGGCCUGAGAGGGUGACCGGCCACAUUGGGACUGAGAUACGGCCCAGACUCCUACGGGAGGCAGCAGUGGGGAAUAUUGCACAAUGGGCGGAAGCCAGAUGCAACAACGCCGCGUGCGGGAUAACGGCCUUCGGGUUGUAAACCGCUUUCGCCUGUGACGAGGCGUGAGUGACGGUAAUGGGUAAGGAAGCACCGGCUAACUACGUG
rnacentral:rRNA from 1 species